UACGUAGGGUGCGAGCGUUAAUCGGAAUUACUGGGCGUAAAGCGUGCGCAGGCGGUUUUGUAAGCCAGAUGUGAAAUCCCCGGGCUUAACCUGGGAAUGGCAUUUGGGACUGCAAGGCUUGAGUGCGGCAGAGGAGACUGGAAUUCCUGGUGUAGCAGUGAAAUGCGUAGAUAUCAGGAGGAAUACCGAUGGCGAAGGCAGGUCUCUGG
rnacentral:rRNA from 1 species